CAGUUUCCUGGGCCUCUUGGUUAGUGGUUUGCUGCCGAGGGACGUGAAGUCAAGGCACAUACUGAGAUAAUAGUAAUAUAGACCGGGUCGUGACUAUUACUAUCACCAUUAUUCAAUUAUCCACUGUAAGGAUUCAGUGGGAUUGUGGUGAAAAUCUAAACAUGCAUGUCGGCGUGUUACCACGUGGCGGAAGGAGCCCACGUGUGCCCGCUGACUGCUGCUGGGGGACGCGACUGUUUACUAAAAGCGGGACUAGAGUUAUUACAAAUAAUGACCGUGCGAUAUGAUGGUGAAGAACUACUUUGAGUUAAGCAUUUAGCAGUGUUUCAACACUGCUAAAGAAUGCAACAAAAGCCAUCGUAUUCAAAUUUGAUGCCGAGUGCAGACGUGAAAGAUGGCCGCUACUGGUUCAAGACUCAUCAAGACUCCCUUGAUGGUGUCAUGUUACCGGCUGGACUGGACCAGGCUUGCUGCCCAAUGCAUCUAUUGAAGAUGGUUUGAAGCACGCAUCAUGUGACCGGCUUGAAGUGAACAUCUGGAUCAUUCUGAUGGAGCAGACUUCAUUACCCUCUGUUGAAGAUGGAUUGAGGCCCAUCGUGGGGAUGUGACCAGUAAGUCUGAGUCAAGUUAAUGAUGACAUAGAAAUGUGCUUAAGUGAUGAAUCACUUGACUAGAGUCUCUGACUAACUCAUGAAGCUAUUUCACAGUACGCUGACGAGCACAUUCUGCUUGUAUUAACUUGACUGGUUAAUUUGUUGAUGCUAACCAAUCGCAUCCUUGUCUUUC